rnacentral:lncRNA from 1 species
CCCGCCCACACCAGACCUGCUGAACUCGCUGACCAGCCGCGCUGGAAUCCUCUUCGCCCAAGAAACACCUGAGCAGGUCUGGACUGCUCCAAAGCGAACCAGUCUGGGCAGCACCCGGCAGGGUUUCCUGCGCAGCGCACGCCGCUCCCACACCGUAAGCGCGGACGCAGAUCCUGCCCUCGAGGGGCGCAGCCUCACCCCCAGCUAAAACGCAUUUCCCUCGGGGCUGGCACCUGGGAAGCGGCCACACACCUUCGGGGUGUCCGCCCCACAGGUAAGGAGGCGCCGCGCGCCUCCCAGAUUUCUUCUUUCGGUUUCCCCAGAGAGCCCCGGCUGCAGAGAGCGGCGCAGCCCCCGCGCCCGCCGCGAGCACCCCUCCCCGGCCACGUGCGGGUCACCCGACUCCCGGGCCGCGCCGCGGGGGGCCGCACCCCGACACACCUCCCUCCGACCCGGCUCCGGUCGCCUCGGCCCCCCGCACCCCCGUGGCUCGGCGCGCGCCAAGUUGAGGCUCGGCGAAAGAGAGGGGCGCGGAGCGGCUGGGGCGGGGCGACUCGAGCCGAGGACUUGGGGGCGCCGUGCCCCUCCCUCCGCGCCCGCCAGAUCCCCGCGGUCUCCGCGCCCCGCCCCGGCCCGCGCUCACCCUCCGCAUGGUGCCUCCCUGGGCUCUGCGCGGCCUCCGGGAGGGGGAGGGGGAAGAAGAGGGAGGGGUGCCCCGCCCACCCCACCCGGGGGCCUCGGCGCGCCUCCUCGGCCGGGAGGGACCGGCGGCCGGCCCACGCUGGGCCGUGGAAAGUUGCCGCCGGCGCUGUCGCCGACCCGGAACGUGGACGGAGAAGAGGGGCGGCGGGCAGCGUGGGGCACGGUCGCCGCCGGAGAGGACUUCGGGUUUCUCCCACUCGAUGGGAAAGUGGCCCGUUCAGGGUCUGCCUACCGGGGCCUUUUCCCCUCCCUUCAUGUGGCUGUCUUCAAACUGUUCUCUUUUUGCCCUUGAAAGAAUAA